CUUACAUCUCUUCGGAGCAUUUUACGAGGUGCUGCAUGGUUGUCGUCAGCUCGUGCCGUGAGGUGUCGGGUUAAGUCCCAUAACGAGCGCAACCCCUACCUUUAGUUGCCAUCAGGUAAUGCUGGGGACCCUAAGGAACUGCCUACGCAAGUAGUGAGGAAGCGGGGAUGACGUCAAAUCAGCACGGCCCUUACGUCCAGGGCUACACACGUGCUACAAUGGCCGAUACAGAGGGGCAGCUACCUGGUGACAGGAUGCAAAUCUCCAAAGUCGGUCUCAGUUCGGAUCGGAGUCUGCAACCCGACUCCGUGAAGUUGGAUUCGCUAGUAAUCGCGCAUCAGCCAUGGCGCGGUGAAUACGUUCCCGGGCCUU
rnacentral:rRNA from 1 species